rnacentral:rRNA from 1 species
GUGGAGCACGCCGCGUGUGUGAUGAAGGCUUUCGGGUCGUAAAGCACUGUUGUAUGGGAAGAACGGGUUUAAGAGGAAAUGCUUAGACAGUGACGGUACCAUACCAGAAAGGGACGGCUAAAUACGUGCCAGCAGCCGCGGUAAUACGUAUGUCCCGAGCGUUAUCCGGAUUUAUUGGGCGUAAAGCGAGCGCAGACGGUUGCUUAAGUCUGAAGUGAAAGCCCACAGCUCAACUGUGGAAUGGCUUUGGAAACUGGGCAACUUGAGUACAGUAGAGGUAAGUGGAACUCCAUGUGUAGCGGUGGAAUGCGUAGAUAUAUGGAAGAACACCAGUGGCGAAGGCGGCUUACUGGACUGCAACUGACGUUGAGGCUCGAAAGUGUGGGUAGCAAACAGGAUUAGAUACCCUGGUAGUCCACACCGUAAACGAUGGAUACUAGUUGUUAGAGGGUUUCCGCCCUUUAGUGACGAAGCAAACGCAUUAAGUAUCCCGCCUGGGGAGUACGACCGCAAGGUUGAAACUCAAAGGAAUUGACGGGGACCCGCACAAGCGGUGGAGCAUGUGGUUUAAUUCGAAGCAACGCGAAGAACCUUACCAGGUCUUGACAUCCUUUGAAGGUACUAGAGAUAGUACUGUCUUCUUCGGAAGCAAAGUGACAGGUGGUGCAUGGCCGUCGUCAGCUCGUGUCGUGAGAUGUUGGGUUAAGUCCCGCAACGAGCGCAACCCUUAUGUUUAGUUGCCAGCAUUCAGUUGGGCACUCUAGACAGACUGCCGGUGACAAACCGGAGGAAGGCGGGGACGACGUCAGGUCAUCAUGCCCCUUAUGACCUGGGCUACACACGUGCUACAAUGGCGUAUACAACGAGCAGCAAACCUGUGAAGGUAAGCGAAUCUCUUAAAGUACGUCUCAGUUCGGAUUGUAGUCUGCAACUCGACUACUUGAAGUCGGAAUCGCUAGUAAUCGCGGAUC